rnacentral:rRNA from 1 species
UGCAGUCGAGCGGAACGAGUUGUUUGAACCUUCGGGGGACGACAACGGCGUCGAGCGGCGGACGGGUGAGUAAUGCCUGGGAAAUUGCCCUGAUGUGGGGGAUAACCAUUGGAAACGAUGGCUAAUACCGCAUAAUAGCUUCGGCUCAAAGAGGGGGACCUUCGGGCCUCUCGCGUCAGGAUAUGCCCAGGUGGGAUUAGCUAGUUGGUGAGGUAAGGGCUCACCAAGGCGACGAUCCCUAGCUGGUCUGAGAGGAUGAUCAGCCACACUGGAACUGAGACACGGUCCAGACUCCUACGGGAGGCAGCAGUGGGGAAUAUUGCACAAUGGGCGCAAGCCUGAUGCAGCCAUGCCGCGUGUAUGAAGAAAGCCUUCGGGUUGUAAAGUACUUUCAGCAGUGAGGAAGAUGGUGUGUUUAAUACGCGCAUCAUUUGACGUUAGCUGCAGAAGAAGCACCGGCUAACUCCGUGCCAGCAGCCGCGGUAAUACGGAGGGUGCGAGCGUUAAUCGGAAUUACUGGGCGUAAAGCGCAUGCAGGUGGUUUGUUAAGUCAGAUGUGAAAGCCCGGGGCUCAACCUCGGAAUAGCAUUUGAAACUGGCAGACUAGAGUACUGUAGAGGG